rnacentral:rRNA from 1 species
AGUGAACGCUGGCGGUAGGCCUAACACAUGCAAGUCGAACGGCAGCACAGUAAGAGCUUGCUCUUACGGGUGGCGAGUGGCGGACGGGUGAGGAAUACAUCGGAAUCUACUUUUUCGGGGGGGAUAACGUAGGGAAACUUACGCUAAUACCGCAUACGACCUACGGGUGAAAGCAGGGGAUCUUCGGACCUUGCGCGAUUGAAUGAGCCGAUGUCGGAUUAGCUUGUUGGGGGGGUAAAGGCCCACCAAGGCGACGAUCCGUAGCUGGUCUGAGAGGAUGAUCGGCCACACUGGAACUGAGACACGGUCCAGCCUCCUACGGGAGGCAGCAGUGGGGAAUAUUGGACAAUGGGCGCAAGCCUGAUCCAGCCAUACCGCGUGGGUGAAGAAGGCCUUCGGGUUGUAAAGCCCUUUUGUUGGGAAAGAAAAGCAGCAGGUUAAUACCCCGCUGUUCUGACGGUACCCAAAGAAUAAGCACCGGCUAACUUCGUG